rnacentral:rRNA from 1 species
GUAGUCCACGCCCUAAACGAUGUCUACUAGUUGUCGGAGGGUAACUCCUUCGGUAACGCAGCUAACGCGUGAAGUAGACCGCCUGGGGAGUACGGUCGCAAGAUUAAAACUCAAAGGAAUUGACGGGGACCCGCACAAGCGGUGGAUGAUGUGGAUUAAUUCGAUGCAACGCGAAAAACCUUACCUACCCUUGACAUGCCACUAACGAAGCAGAGAUGCAUUAGGUGCCCGAAAGGGAAAGUGGACACAGGUGCUGCAUGGCUGUCGUCAGCUCGUGUCGUGAGAUGUUGGGUUAAGUCCCGCAACGAGCGCAACCCUUGCCAAUAGUUGCUACGAAAGAGCACUCUAUUGGGACUGCCGGUGACAAACCGGA